AUUGAACGCUGGCGGCAUGCUUUACACAUGCAAGUCGAACGGUAACAGGCCGCAAGGUGCUGACGAGUGGCGAACGGGUGAGUAAUGCAUCGGAACGCGCCCAGUCGUGGGGGAUAACGCAGCGAAAGCUGUGCUAAUACCGCAUACGAUCUAUGGAUGAAAGCGGGGGACCGUAAGGCCUCGCGCGAUUGGAGCGGCCGAUGUCAGAUUAGCUAGUUGGUGGGGUAAAGGCCCACCAAGGCGACGAUCUGUAGCUGGUCUGAGAGGACGACCAGCCACACUGGGACUGAGACACGGCCCAGACUCCUACGGGAGGCAGCAGUGGGGAAUUUUGGACAAUGGGCGCAAGCCUGAUCCAGCAAUGCCGCGUGCAGGAAGAAGGCCUUCGGGUUGUAAACUGCUUUUGUACGGAACGAAACGGUCUGGGUUAAUACCCUGGGCUAAUGACGGUACCGUAAGAAUAAGCACCGGCUAACUACGUGCCAGCCGCCGCCGUAAGAC
rnacentral:rRNA from 1 species